rnacentral:lncRNA from 1 species
UUUUGCUUCCAUCAUUUGUGGUUCCCCAGGUCAUCUUCUUUUUGACCUGACAGUUUUCUUUAAUUGUGGUGUAUGAAGGUGAAAUUCUAAACCACUCAUCCCCUUAGUAUACUUAAUUUGUUAUGAUGUAGAAUCUAUGAGUCCUUUUAGAAGUUUUGAUCCAGUUAUUUGAAAUUCACUCAAGUUCAAGUAGAAAAUGAAUAUAUUGGGUCAUUACAGUAGUGACUUGUUUUUUUAAAAAAACAAAACCCCAAAGGGUAGGAAUUGUGCAGGUAGGAAUUUGAAACCCAGGCAGAACCAAAGCAGCUUUCUUUAGUCUUUUCUCUUCUAGAUUGUGUGGUUAUCAUCUCUGUGCCUUUGCCUCAUCAUUAACUGUGUCUUUCAGUCUGACUUUCUCUUGUACACGGCUGUCCUGACCUGGCCGUGUGUGGGUCCACAGGCUGAAUAAAGUCUCCAGUAAGAGGAUCUGGUUGCCUUAGGAUGGAUUCAGUAUCCACCUUUGAUGCAGUUGCUGUAUGGGGACGUGGGAAGGAGGUCAGAUGGUGAAAGGUUUGCUGCUUCUGUGUCUAGAGGUAGUCAGGUUUUCUUACAAAGUCUUGAGACUGGGACGGUUAUGCACUCUUGAAACCGUAACAGACGAAGAUUAGAGCCUUUAGCAGCCAGUGGACUUUUCCUCCAUUUAAUUGACACUUUUCUAGACUGUGGUUAGACCAUUUACUGCUCUCAUAAAACAUUUCUGUUCCCGUUCUAUAAAGUUACCAAAAGAAUGAUGCUCACUGAAAUUUGGAUUUACUGUCUCUGGUCCAUGAUAGUUCCCUGACUGGCUAUUUUCUCAGAUGCCUUUUGGUUCCUUGUGAGCACAUAUUUGUCUGCAAAUUUGCCCUGUUCUAACACACUGAAGAAGCUCAGAAUCCAGGUCAGGGGCUUAGAGUUUCAUGAGGUUCUUUUCUUAUUCUUUUACCAGUGGGAUAUUCUCUCCCCUUUGACCUUUGGUAUUGUACAGCAGUUGAAUAAUGUUCACUGGUAGAGAAUCAUAUGUAUGUACAGGUC